UUCGGAUUGCAGGCUGCAACCCGCCUGUAUGAAGUUGGAAUCGCUAGUAAUCGCGGAUCAGCAUGCCGCGGUGAAUACGUUCCCGGGCCUUGUACACACCGCCCGUCACACAUGAGAGUCGGGAACACCCGAAGUCCGUAGUCUAACUUUCACGAGAGGACGCGGCCGAAGGUGGGUUCGAUAAUUGGGGUGAAGUCGUAACAAGGUAUC
rnacentral:rRNA from 1 species